AGAGCUCUAGAGGUUCCUGAACCCAGCACUCCCACUAGUGGGUGCGUCAUGAAUGGAGUGCUGACCGUCCUCCAGGCAGCACACUAAAGGCUUUACAGCGCGAUCUCAUUUCGCCCUCAUAGCAACCCUGAAAGAUCCUCUCACCACCCUUCUCCAUCCUGCUCUGUGCCCCAAGAGGCAGACCCAUGUGGACUGCAUCACCUGGCCUCCCUAGUCCUCUGGCUUCCAGUUGAGUUUGACGAAUGAGAAGUGCUGGCAGAAGAUUGAAGCGUCAAAGGAGAGAAAGAAUGGCUCCCUUACUGUCUGCGUGCUAUAGAAUGAAUGUUUAUGUCCUCCCACCUCAAAACUUGUAUUGCACUGGAUACUGGGAAUGCAAUGGAUGCGUAAGACAAAAGCAGUUGCUACUCUCAAUGAGUUUACAGUCUAGUGGAAGAAACAUGCAAUAAAAAGAAGGAGCAGAGAAGAGAGCUGAGAGAGGCCAGCUGAGCAACUUGGAGGAGUGGCCAGAAGACUUUGAAGAACAGUUUCAUUUUAAGGUGUUUGUUCUGCUGCAACAACUUCUUCUAGUUCCUCAAACCUUCAAUAAAGGAUGUUGUACGA
rnacentral:lncRNA from 1 species